UACAGAGGUCUCAAGCGUUGUUCGGAUUCAUUGGGCGUAAAGGGUGCGUAGGCGGCGCGGUAAGUCGGGUGUGAAAUCUCGGAGCUUAACUCCGAAACUGCAUUCGAUACUGCCGUGCUUGAGGACUGGAGAGGAGACUGGAAUUUACGGUGUAGCAGUGAAAUGCGUAGAUAUCGUAAGGAAGACCAGUGGCGAAGGCGGGUCUCUGGACAGUUCCUGACACUGAGGCACGAAGGCCAGGGGAGCAAACGGG
rnacentral:rRNA from 1 species